rnacentral:tRNA from 1 species
GCCGGCGAGGCCCCAUCGGCAGGGGCACCCGCUUCGUAGGCGGGACGCUGUGGGUUCAACUCCCUCCGCCGGCUCCA